rnacentral:lncRNA from 1 species
UAGCUGGGCAUGGUAGCAUCCAUCUGUAGCCCCAGCUACUUGGGAGGCUGAGGCAGGAGGAUUGGUUGAGCCUAGGAGGUUGAGGCUCCAGUAAGCCAUGACUGCACCACUGCACUCCAGCCUGGGUGACAGAGCAAGACCCUGUCUUAAAAAAGAAAAGUUUAUUAACGUGAAUAUCAGUUAGAAAUCUAGUUGUUCAUUGCAAAACUAAACCAGUUUAUAGCAGAAAUAAGCACUUGGAGGGAAAUGUUACAUUUUCACUGCAGGCCUUGAAUCCUUAGCCACCAGCUCCGUGUCCUUCAGGGUUCUGUGGUUCCUGGUUCCAGAGAGAUCACCUGCUCCAAUGUAACGAGUGAAGAGUUCUUUAGGUGAUGGCUGCUGGGCCCAGCUUUGCUGUUGUCUUUGCUGUCUUAUUGUUUUUCCUUGAUGCUGGAAAACAUUUUGAAGACAAGACUCUAAACAGUGAAACUUACAUUACUGACAAGCUUGGAAGAUUCUUCAGUCCUGCAGUGACCUGUGUUUCCCUGGAUGAUAUUGAUGUUGAAAUGUCUUACGAUGAUCAUUUAGAGGUUUAUUUUGAACAACUGGCAAUUCCAGGAAUGAUGGAAUAA